rnacentral:rRNA from 1 species
UACGAAGGGAGCUAGCGUUGUUCGGAAUCACUGGGCGUAAAGCGCACGUAGGCGGAUGUGUCAGUCAGGGGUGAAAUCCCGGAGCUCAACUUCGGAACUGCCUUUGAUACAGCACAUCUGGAGUCCGGAAGAGGUGGGUGGAAUUCCUAGUGUAGAGGUGAAAUUCGUAGAUAUUAGGAAGAACACCAGUGGCGAAGGCGGCUCACUGGCCCGGUACUGACGCUGAGGCGCGAAAGCGUGGGGAACAAACAGG